CUCAGGAUGAACGCUGGCGGCGUGCCUAAUACAUGCAAGUCGAGCGAACGGACGAGAAGCUUGCUUCUCUGAUGUUAGCGGCGGACGGGUGAGUAACACGUGGAUAACCUACCUAUAAGACUGGGAUAACUUCGGGAAACCGGAGCUAAUACCGGAUAAUAUUUUGAACCGCAUGGUUCAAAAGUGAAAGACGGUCUUGCUGUCACUUAUAGAUGGAUCCGCGCUGCAUUAGCUAGUUGGUAAGGUAACGGCUUACCAAGGCAACGAUGCAUAGCCGACCUGAGAGGGUGAUCGGCCACACUGGAACUGAGACACGGUCCAGACUCCUACGGGAGGCAGCAGUAGGGAAUCUUCCGCAAUGGGCGAAAGCCUGACGGAGCAACGCCGCGUGAGUGAUGAAGGUCUUCGGAUCGUAAAACUCUGUUAUUAGGGAAGAACAUAUGUGUAAGUAACUGUGCACAUCUUGACGGUACCUAAUCAGAAAGCCACGGCUAACUACGUGCCAGCAGCCGCGGUAAUACGUAGGUGGCAAGCGUUAUCCGGAAUUAUUGGGCGUAAAGCGCGCGUAGGCGGUUUUUUAAGUCUGAUGUGAAAGCCCACGGCUCAACCGUGGAGGGUCAUUGGAAACUGGAAAACUUGAGUGCAGAAGAGGAAAGUGGAAUUCCAUGUGUAGCGGUGAAAUGCGCAGAGAUAUGGAGGAACACCAGUGGCGAAGGCGACUUUCUGGUCUGUAACUGACGCUGAUGUGCGAAAGCGUGGGGAUCAAACAGGAUUAGAUACCCUGGUAGUCCACGCCGUAAACGAUGAGUGCUAAGUGUUAGGGGGUUUCCGCCCCUUAGUGCUGCAGCUAACGCAUUAAGCACUCCGCCUGGGGAGUACGACCGCAAGGUUGAAACUCAAAGGAAUUGACGGGGACCCGCACAAGCGGUGGAGCAUGUGGUUUAAUUCGAAGCAACGCGAAGAACCUUACCAAAUCUUGACAUCCUUUGACAACUCUAGAGAUAGAGCUUUCCCCUUCGGGGGACAAAGUGACAGGUGGUGCAUGGUUGUCGUCAGCUCGUGUCGUGAGAUGUUGGGUUAAGUCCCGCAACGAGCGCAACCCUUAAGCUUAGUUGCCAUCAUUAAGUUGGGCACUCUAAGUUGACUGCCGGUGACAAACCGGAGGAAGGUGGGGAUGACGUCAAAUCAUCAUGCCCCUUAUGAUUUGGGCUACACACGUGCUACAAUGGACAAUACAAAGGGCAGCGAAACCGCGAGGUCAAGCAAAUCCCAUAAAGUUGUUCUCAGUUCGGAUUGUAGUCUGAAACUCGACUACAUGAAGCUGGAAUCGCUAGUAAUCGUAGAUCAGCAUGCUACGGUGAAUACGUUCCCGGGUCUUGUACACACCGCCCGUCACACCACGAGAGUUUGUAACACCCGAAGCCGGUGGAGUAACCUUUUAGGAGCUAGCCGUCGAAGGUGGGACAAAUGAUUGGGGUGA
rnacentral:rRNA from 1 species